UUAACUAUUAUAUAGUACUCAGACGACACUGAUAUUUAGGGUUUGGGUCCUCUGGCGGGCGCGUACCAGCGGGAGCCGGUAGCCAGGCCGAGGCCUGACGGCCCGCCAAAGCAACAAAGGUAACGAUAACACAGGGUGGGAGGUCUACCCCGAAGGGCACGAACUCGGUAAUGAUCCCUCCGCAGGUUCACCUACGGAGA
rnacentral:misc_RNA from 1 species